UCAGGAUGAACGCUGGCGGUAUGCUUAACACAUGCAAGUCGAACGGUCUCUUCGGAGAUAGUGGCGGACGGGUGAGUAACGCGUGAGAAUCUAGCUUCAGGUCGGGGACAACCACUGGAAACGGUGGCUAAUACCGGAUGUGCCGAAAGGUGAAAGAUUUAUUGCCUGAAGAUGAGCUCGCGUCUGAUUAGCUAGUUGGUGUGGUAAGAGCGCACCAAGGCGACGAUCAGUAGCUGGUCUGAGAGGAUGAUCAGCCACACUGGGACUGAGACACGGCCCAGACUCCUACGGGAGGCAGCAGUGGGGAAUUUUCCGCAAUGGGCGAAAGCCUGACGGAAAAAGCAAUACCGCGUGAGGGAGGAAGGCUCUUGGGUUGUAAACCUCUUUUCUCAGGGAAUAAAAAAAUGAAGGUACCUGAGGAAUAAGCAUCGGCUAACUCCGUGCCAGCAGCCGCGGUAAUACGGAGGAUGCAAGCGUUAUCCGGAAUGAUUGGGCGUAAAGCGUCCGCAGGUGGCACUGUAAAGUCUGCUGUUAAAGGGGGGAGCAAGGCUCAACCUUGUAAAGGCAGUGGAAACUACAGAGCUAGAGUACGUUCGGGGCAGAGGGAAUUCCUGGUGUAGCGGUGAAAUGCGUAGAGAUCAAAAAGGAAGAACACCGGUGGCGAAAGCGCUCUGCUAGGCCGUAACUGACACUGAGGGACGAAAGCUAGGGGAGCGAAUGGGAUUAGAUACCCCAGUAGUCCUAGCCGUAAACGA
rnacentral:rRNA from 1 species